UGUAACCUUAUCUAUUUUCACCC
rnacentral:siRNA from 1 species